GACAGAGGAGGCAAGCGUUGUUCGGAAUUAUUGGGCUUAAAGCGGGUGUAGGCGGCUGGACAAGUGUUCUGUGAAAGCCCCCGGCUCAACCGGGGAACGGCAGAGCAAACUGCCUGGCUUGAGGUCGGUAGAGGUGCCUGGAACUCUCGGUGGAGCGGUGAAAUGCGUAGAUAUCGAGAGGAACGCCAGUGGCGAAAGCGGGGCACUGGGCCGAUUCUGACGCUGAGACCCGAAAGCGUGGGGAGCAAACAGGAUUAGAUACCCGCGUA
rnacentral:rRNA from 1 species